rnacentral:rRNA from 1 species
UACGGAGGGUGCAAGCGUUAAUCGGAAUUACUGGGCGUAAAGCGCACGCAGGUGGCUGAGUCAGUCGAUUGUGAAAGCCCCGGGCUUAACCUGGGAAUUGCAGUCGAUACUACUCAGCUAGAGUAUGGGAGAGGGUAGUGGAAUUCCCGGUGUAGCGGUGAAAUGCGUAGAUAUCAGGAGGAACACCGGUGGCGAAGGCGGUUCUCUGGGCAUGUUCUGACGCUGAGGAGCGAAAGUGUGGGGAGCGAACAGG